CGGGGCGUAGCGCAGCCUGGUAGCGCACCUGCUUUGGGAGCAGGGAGUCGGAGGUUCGAAUCCUCUCGCCCCGACCA
rnacentral:tRNA from 5 species